AACAAAUCAGAGUUGCCUCCCAUCACUUUGAGAGAGCAUCAGUAAUUCUAUCUGAGGCCCAGGAGUUAUGCGCCCUGGCAAUGGAGAGAUGACGUCCCAAAGAGACGACUGAUGCAUGAAUGAUUCUCACCAGAGAAUGUGAAGAACCAGAUGUUGGUGGGAGGUGAUCAAAAAUCAGGAAGCAAAAUCCUAAAAGAAAAGUAUUUCUUCAGAACUGUGUCACAAUGCCUCCUAUGAGACCGUGAAGCAGCUUCAAUACGUUGAAGAAACCAGAUUAAUUAAGAAACCAGAGAGCGGAGUCCUUCCACUGUAUUUACAGAUGCAUUUUAAAACUGCACCAAAGUAAUCCUUUAUUAGUCACACUGCUUUUGCUCUAAUCACCCAGAUUUAUAAACACCGAAACUAAGUAGUGUUUUGCUUCUUUUUUUAAUAAGUGUGCCACUUAAUUAAAGCCGCUCAUGGAUGUCAAGAAGUAACUAUAUGAAUCAGAGGAAACUUUAUGGGACACUUCUAAUUUAGAGAAAAUCUACAUAAACUGUAAGUGUCUGUAGAAAUGUAUCGUUUAAAUUUUUAUACCUGUAUGUUGUACUGUACACUUUGUCUUUCUGCUUGUUUGUCAGCUGCUUCAAAUGUAAUUCUAAUCACAAUUCAUUUAUGUGUUGUGUGUGAUGUUCAUGUAGCUGAAAUCUGAUUUUUGAUUAUGCUAAUAUCUGCACAGAUGAGCCUAUUUGCAUGGCCUUUAAGAGUCUGACUUUAUUUGCACUAAUUCUGAAUACUCAAACAGUAUAUCAUUACAUCAGCCAUGUGGAGCUCAUCCCGCUCAUCCUGCCUGCUCCGCAUUUUGUCUAAAAUUAGUGCCACUCUUUGGAUGGUGGAUGUUUUUUUUUUUUUUGUUUUUUUUUUAAGAAGUUAAUACUCUGAAGAUGAAACUGCUUUUUUCUCCUUUUUUGUCGACAUCAAAUAAUUCACAUCUGGGAAUGAUAUAAUGAGAGGAGGAGAGAAGAAAUUCAUGUGUAAGCCUGGAGCAUGGGAAGUAUAGAAAUGCAUAGAGUGCAUCUUAGGGUGUUAAUCAACAUGGGAGCUCAAGGGAACCAAAAUGUUUAAUCUUUUUAUCAUCACAGUGCAAAAAAAAAUGUAAAAGAAGGCUUCCUGUAGCAUGUAAGGCAUGCCAUAUAGGUUGAUUUCUGCUAACAAGCUGUACAAAGAUUUAAAAUUGUGCAAUUUUUUUGUGUA